rnacentral:lncRNA from 1 species
AGCGCCCUCCCCCAGCCCUGCCCAGCCAAGUCCCCGCCUCUUAGAAAAAAAAAGCGUCAGCAGCGGAAGAGAAUCCUAUGUCAAGUGUAAAGGUCACUUGUGAGUCUUUGCUGGAUUUUUUUGCCAAACGAUAAAUAACCGGAUGCUCUCAACAGAGCACCUGCUAUGGACUCUUGCUGGUCUUCAUGGCAGAGGAAAGAUAGCUCUGCAGGCUCUCACCCUGGCCUAGAAAUUUCCCCAGCUGAGACAAGAGCAUGACAAAACAUGACCAGCGGUAACAGUGAUAGAGCAGAGAUCCAGAAUACUCUUCUGGCUGAUACACAGACACGCUGUACACUUUUCAUAGAACUCAAGUUUGAUAUGUAUUAGGGGCAUCCU